rnacentral:rRNA from 1 species
GACAGAGGGUGCAAACGUUGCUCGGAAUCACUGGGCGUAAAGAGCGCGCAGGCGGCCGAGUAAGUCGAAUGUGAAAGCCCCCGGCUCAACUGGGGAAGGUCAUUCGAUACUGUUCGGCUCGAAGAUAGGAGAGGGAAGCGGAAUUUCAGGUGUAGUGGUGAAAUGCGUAGAUAUCUGAAGGAACACCAGUGGCGAAGGCGGCUUUCUGGCCUAUUCUUGACGCUGAGGCGCGAAAGCUAGGGGAGCGAACGGG